rnacentral:rRNA from 1 species
AUUGAACGCUGGCGGCAGGCUUAACACAUGCAUGUCGAGCGAGCGGCGGACGGGUUAGUAAUGUCUGGGAAACUGCCUGAUGGCGGGUGAUAACUACUGGAAACGGUAGCUAAUCCCGCAUACCAUCAGAUGUGCCCAGAUGGGAUUAGCUAGUAGGUGGGGUAAUGGAUCACCUAGGCGACGCUCCCUAGCUGGUCUGAGAGGAUGACCAGCCACACUGGAACUGAGACACGGUCCAGACUCCUACGGGAGGAAGCAGUGGGGAAUAUUGCACAAUGGGCGCAAGCCUGAUGCAGCCAGGCCGCGUGUGGGAAGAAGGCCUUCGGGGUGUAAAGCACUUUCAGCGAGGAGGCGUUACUCGCAGAAGAAGCACCGGCUAACUCCGUGCCAGCAGCCGCGGUAAUAC